GUCUCCUCUUUGAAAGGAGGGAUCGAGCAGCGUUCACUCACUCUGCACUCCCAUCGAAACCACAGGCUCCAGCUCUCUGUGCUAUCUGGCUUGAGAACUCAGUUAUCCUCUUCCAUCAUGUGUGUCCUGGGGGUUGACCUGAGGUCAUCUGGCUUGUUAGCAAGAACCUUUACCUGCUGGGCCCAGGAGGCCUCCUGACUCCUCCUCCGUUUCCCUUCAGAGCAGGUCCCAGUGAACACAGUAUAACAAGCUACAACAACUAAGGAAGAACCCUUAUCUCGUGGCUGGCCACAGAAACAUAUUGGUACUAUCAACUCAGGUCAUAUUCUACCACAGAGCUGAAAACUUCCUGUGAUGAAGGAUCAUGUCUCACUUAAUUGCGGUGCGGUGCGGUGCGGUGCAGUGGUCUGAGAUGCUCCUUAGCAAGGAGGCCCUUUCACGGCUUCACUCAGCCAGGCGGGGAAGUGAGGGCAGCUUUGAGGAAUGUGCUGAACUUUGCAAGAGGGUAGAAACUACUCGACCACACACUUCUUCUGCCAUGAUGUUCUGGCCAAACACAAAGAGGCAAAGCACAUUCUGGACUGAGCUCUUUGGAACUGCAAGCCAAAGGACCUCAUUGACACCAUGUCACUGCGCCAAGCUACUUUAUCUAGGGCUAUAUAGCCUGCUCACAGGAUCUAGGUCCCGUGUCACUGGAAACUGCCAACAGAGAGAGGAAAGACAGAAGCAGCUGCUUAAAAGCCAAGCACGGGGUUUGGAAGUUGUCUCUAAGAUGGCAACAGGCUCUUGGGAUCAGACAAAUCAGCUCCUUUGGAGAAAAAAGCCUUCUGCUCAGACACGGCAGGGAUAAAAUACCGAGGAGGAACGUCAUAGCUCAGAGCGCAAGUGUGACUAUUUCCCCACCAGCCCAACCCACUGCUCAAGGAACCACGGGAGGCCUGACCCCGGUGCAAGGCCACAUGGAAAAGCAGAUAAAAGGAAUGCAAACAAAAACAAAACAGAAAAUUAGAAGAUCAGAGCUAACACAGAGACCACCUCGCCUGCUGCACAAGGUGCUGAGAGUGGACCACUCCAUCAGAAUGCAGUGUCUCCAUCAGAUCCCUCCCCUUGGGGCUCAGGAUGCUCUGCUGAAAAGGAGGCAGAAGGAGUCUAAGAGCCAGAGGGGAUGAAGAACAUCAAGGAAACGUGGCCUUCUGGACACAACAGGAUGGACACACGUAUGAGCUCACAGAGACUAUGGCAGCAUCACACAGGCCUGCACAGGUCCCAGCAAGGCAGGGUCCGAGAGCUGAGAGGGGGAAAUGGACACGACUCUCAUCCCUAAUCCAGAAGCUAGCUCCAACGGUCAACAAAGGAAAACUAGCUUUUCCCAAGCAGUCUCCUUGGGAAUGCAAACCACACUGAAUGGCAGGCCCCGAGCCCAGCAGCAGAUGACCACACCAAACAAACUCAAUGGUUACUUCAAAAUUCUAGGAGAGAUGCCUGGAUCCUUUACUGUGGAGCUGCUCAAAAAUAUAGCACUGGAGAAAUAAAGCAAAUGUACAGGAUUUUAGUCCUGUCAUCCCGGGUAGCUCUGCAUUGCUUUAUCUGAGCUUGCGAAACAGCCCUGAAUGUGAGCAGUCAGAAUCAAGUCAUGUUCUCACCCUUCAAUGCGCUUGGCACGUUUUCUUUCCGGACACAUCCAGUGGAUACUGUGCAGACCUUCUCCAGCUAAUCUCAGGAAGGCUGAAGUUUUUAGACGGCUACCCUUCAUAUUUAGGGGUAAUCGGAGGAACUCCAAGCUCCAAACCCAGUAAGUGAAGGGGAAAUCCAAAGAAAACCAAGCUAGCCUCGUAAACAAAGUGGAAAUUUCCUUCUGCCCAGAAGAAAAUAUUAUCACAGUGAAUACAGCUUCAAAGAUAAAACAUGGACUAGUCAGAAAUACAUAAACUGCUUGAAGACUCAGAAGACAGGCUGAAACCACAGGGAGAAUAUAACCAUGUGGAAAGUCUAGUCUUCAUGUGGAACAUCUGUUACGAAGAAAUUCUACUUGGAAAGCUUGUCUGCUCUAUUAACCCAUCCCUGUUGCUCACUUGGAAGAAGAGGGCCUUCACUUUCCACUGUAAGAAGAAGGUCUUCUGUUGCUCUGAACGCUUCUGUUUAGAGACCUUUCUUCACUGUCCCCAAGGGAUGUUUUCUAAGCCAAGUUCACCUACGAUCUCACACACGCGCUGUUGAGGUGUAAUGUUACAGACAUGGUGAUUUACAACGCAGAUAUAUUACCCCAGAUCCUCCAGGUGUUGGAGAAGGGCCCUCCUGACAACUUGAUUCCGUGUCUUCCUCUGUUGAAUUGGAUUUAUCUUACCUUCUUUCACUAAGCCCCCGGGGCUCUUUAUCUCUCAGCUCAUCUGAAUUUUUUCCCCAGGUCUAGGAAUCAGACUCUGGUCCUUAUCGUAGCAGGACAAGUCCUGUGCAGAUGGAGCUGUACGGCUGCAGCUCUGUUUCCUUUGCUCCAGUCUUUGUGUCAGGGAAGAGGUGCCUUCCCGACUGAGCAGUCUUCCUUUGUUCCCUGCCAGCUCUUCGUCGAAGAUCUUCAGGGAUCCCAACCUUUUCCAAGCAGAUUUCUGCCAUCUUCACUCAGGCACCUAAUCCAAGCCGAACUGUUUUCCAUCCCAUCGCACAACAGUAUACAGUCUUCAUUGCUCUCUUACAGGAAGUGGUUUUGCUUCCUCCAUCCACGUACACAGCUCUUGAGGACCGAGUCUCUGACCUGCGACUUGUAAAGAUUCUGGGAAGUUUCUAGAGGGGCAAUUCAUGAAAGAAAGACUCAGUAACUUGAAUCUGCAAAUUUCAAAAUGUGGAAAAAGAAUUUUAUCAGUACCAUAGGAUGAGACUGCUUUUACCUAAGAAGAAAGCUCUCAUGGUAUUUGUCAAAUUCCAGAACAGCGAGGGCACAGCCAUUUAUAACAGUUCCUUAUGAAUCCUUUACAUGGUAGUGUGCACACUUGGACCAGCAAAUAUUUAAGAUGAAAUGCUACCCAGGGGAUUACAUCUGAGAAAGAAAGCAAUGAGUACUUGAGGACUCCUGCUACUAGUGUGCCAUGGACCCUCUAUUGCAAUGACAAAAGUGAAAACAUAAAAUGUCAACCUCUGGACCAAUGUGUGGUUAGUGCCACCGCAGCACUGUUGCCCCAGGAUGCCCUGAAUAAACCAUUGUUGUGGUUUCCCUGACAGACAGCUUGUCGGCAAAUGAUCAGUAUUGGCCAUGAUUUCGGGCUAAUUUCAUGGAUGUUUUCCAGUUUCCGUGAUCUUCCGUUCCCGUUUUCCAAACAAAAGUGCUUCUGAAAAUUUCUGUUUAUCUCAGAUUCCUCUUUCGCAUUAACUAGCAUAUGCUACAGUGAUCGAAGGACUGAAGUGUGAUGAACAAUCAACAGUACAGGUUCUGACAGUGAACCGUAGAGCAGCACAUGCUAGAGCUCCGGCCUACUCUUCAGAUGCUCUGGUUUUAUGUUCAUAGUGCUCAACAGUUAUGGAAACCUAAAUUAGAUUUUAUGUGCUUGUGUUCAUGGCUACAUUCAUAACGGAGAUAGUGGAAAUAACCCAAGUGUUCAUAGAAAUUGAGAAGCAGAACACGGUGCAUACAGUUUCAUGUUGGUCAGCUUUACCAAAGAGGGGCAAUCUGAUGCAGGCUGCAACAUCGACCAACCUGAAAGACAUGGCUGCAUGGAAUAAGUCCGAUGAGAAGUGUUAAACAUCACCCGCAUUGCUUGCAUUCAUGCAUAUGUCGAAGAUGUCACGAAUAUGAAAAACAUCUAGGACAGGUAAAUGCAUAGAGACAGAAAGACAGUAUCUGUGGGCUACAGAAAUGCAGAGUUAGUGUCUAAUCAUUCAGCAGCCUGAAAUCCCAGAACUCAGG
rnacentral:lncRNA from 1 species